rnacentral:rRNA from 1 species
ACCGAGUGCGGGCCCCUCGGGGCCCAACCUCCCACCCGUGUUGCCCGAACCUAUGUUGCCUCGGCGGGCCCCGCGCCCGCCGACGGCCCCCCUGAACGCUGUCUGAAGUUGCAGUCUGAGACCUAUAACGAAAUUAGUUAAAACUUUCAACAACGGAUCUCUUGGUUCCGGCAUCGAUGAAGAACGCAGCGAAAUGCGAUAACUAAUGUGAAUUGCAGAAUUCAGUGAAUCAUCGAGUCUUUGAACGCACAUUGCGCCCUCUGGUAUUCCGGAGGGCAUGCCUGUCCGAGCGUCAUUGCUGCCCUCAAGCCCGGCUUGUGUGUUGGGCCCCGUCCCCCCCGCCGGGGGGACGGGCCCGAAAGGCAGCGGCGGCACCGCGUCCGGUCCUCGAGCGUAUGGGGCUUCGUCACCCGCUCUAGUAGGCCCGGCCGGCGCCAGCCGACCCCCAACCUUUAAUUAUCUCAGGUUGACCUCGGAUCAGGUAGGGAUACCCGCUGAACUUAA